GACGAACGCUGGCGGCGUGCCUAACACAUGCAAGUCGAACGGAGUGGCGAACGGGUGAGUAACACGUGGGUGAUCUGCCGUGCACGUGGGGAUAAGCCUGGGAAACUGGGUCUAAUACCGGAUAGUGCAAGAUGAGCUCGCGGCCUAUCAGCUUGUUGGUGGGGUAAUGGCCUACCAAGGCGUCGACGGGUAGCCGGCCUGGGAGGGUGUACGGGCACAUUGGGCCUGAGGUACGGCCCAGACGCGUACGGGGGGCAGCAGUGGGGAGUAUUGCGCAAUGGGGGGAAGCCUGAUGCAGCGACGCCGCGUGUGUGAUGAACGCCUUCGGGUUGUAAACUGCUUUCGACAGGGACGCGGUACCUGUAUAAGAAGCACCGGCUAACUACGUGCCAGCAGCCGCGGUAAUUC
rnacentral:rRNA from 1 species